rnacentral:rRNA from 1 species
GACAGAGGUGGCGAGCGUUGUCCGGAUUUACUGGGCGUAAAGGGCGUGUAGGCUGUUGCGUAAGUCAGUUGUGAAAUCCGUCGGCUCAACCGAAGAAUUGCUUCUGAUACUGCGCGACUGGAGGACGGGAGAGGAAAGUAGAAUUCCCGGUGUAGCAGUGAAAUGCGUAGAUAUCGGGAAGAAUACCAAUGGCGAAGGCGACUUUCUGGCCCGUUUCUGACGCUGAGGCGCGAAAGCCAGGGGAG